rnacentral:rRNA from 1 species
GGUGAACGCUGGCGGCGUGCCUAAUACAUGCCAGUCGAGCGGCCGGACGGGAAGCUUUCGUCUCUGAUGGUAGCGGCGGACGGACGAGUGACGCGUGCAUAACCUACUUCUUUUUCUUGGGUGACUUCGUGAAGCCAUUGCUGCUACCAGCUCAUACUUUCUACCGCAUAAAUCAAGGGUGCUUCACGGUCUUGCUGUCUCUUAUAGCCGAAGUCGGAUUAGCUAGUUGGCGGGGUAAAGGCCCACCAAGGCAACGAUCCGUAGCUGGUCUGAGAGGAUGAUCAGCCACACUGGAACUGAGACACGGUCCAGACUCCUACGGGAGGCAGCAGUGGGGAAUAUUGGACAAUGGGCGCAAGCCUGAUCCAGCCAUACCGCGUGGGUGAAGAAGGCCUUCGGGUUGUAAAGCCCUUUUGUUGGGAAAGAAAAGCAGCAGGUUAAUACCCCGCUGUUCUGACGGUACCCAAAGAAUAAGCACCGGCUAACUUCGUG